CUGGGCUCUGUCCCUGAAGCUCUUCAGCUCAAGGCAAUAAAACUGAGGCCCAGAGAGUUAAGGGACCAGAGCGGCUCGGCAGGACCAGAGCCUCAACAGGGGUUUUCUCAAGUGUAUCCACCGGUUGCUGACAUGGCUUCUCAACUCCAUCAUGGCACCUCUCCUGCAAAGUGCCUCCUUUCAGCAGAGUCCAGGUUGGAUUCGAACUUCAGGCCUCCCUUCCAAGCUGCCUCCUCCUGGGGCACCAGGAGUCACGCGUGCUAACUCCGUGGCCCCGUUGGCCUGGCUUCAGCUUUAGAUCCUUAAUAGUGGCUAGCCAAGAGGGUUAUGGGGAGAUGAAAGCGUGCAGUUUAACCCUGUGCCCAGCACAUAGUAAGUGCUCAAUAAACGUUAAUUAUUGAUGUUA